rnacentral:misc_RNA from 1 species
GUGCAAAACUUGACUUUAGGUGCUUUGGAUAAUAGUUUCUUGGUUAAUGAUUUGGGUGUUCAAGUUUAUAGGAAUUAUCAUAAAGGCAUUUAUGGGAAGGGUAUUUGUGUGAAAUUUGAUAAUAGAAGUGGAGCUAGUUCGGAGCAAUCUACCCCUAAAAAGGCAAUGCUUAUGAGGGCAGAAACGAAUAUGAUGUUAAUGAGUCCAUUAAAGGGAGGGAAGCCAAAUUCAACAGGAAUUCAGCAGCUUGAUAUUGAAACGGGAAAGAUUGUGACAGAGUGGAAGUUUGGGAAAGAUGGGACUGAGAUUACAAUGAAAGAUGUAACAAAUGAUACUAAAGGGUCUCAAUUGGACCCAUCCGAGAGUACCUUUCUGGGUUUGGAUGAUAAUAGGUUAUGUCAAUGGGAUAUGAGAGAUAAGAGAGGGGUGGUGCAGAGUAUUGGGGGUGAUUCUCCAGUUUUGCAUUGGAGUCAGGGGCAUCAGUUCUCAAGAGGGACUAAUUUUCAAUGCUUUGC